GCACGGGUGAGUAACACGUGAAUUACAUGCCCUUCAGUGGGGAAUAGCCCGGGGAAACCCGGAUUAAUACCCCAUGGUACCGCAAGGUUAAAGGUGGCCAGCAAUGGCUGCCGCUGAAGGAUUGGUUCGCGCCCUAUCAGCUUGUUGGUGAGGUAACGGCUCACCAAGGCUACGACGGGUACCUGGUCUGAGAGGACGAUCAGGCACACUGGAACUGAGACACGGUCCAGACACC
rnacentral:rRNA from 1 species